rnacentral:rRNA from 1 species
GAUCCUGGCUCAGGAUGAACGCUGGCGGCGUGCCUAACACAUGCAAGUCGAGCGAUUUACUUCGGUAAAGAGCGGCGGACGGGUGAGUAACGCGUGGGUAACCUGCCCUAUACACACGGAUAACAUACCGAAAGGUAGUGCUAAUACGAGAUAACGUAAGAGAUUCGCAUGGAUUUCUUAUCAAAGCUUUUGCGGUAUAGGAUGGGACCCGCGUUCUGAUUAGCUAGUUGGUAAGGUAACGGCUUACCAAGGCGACG